rnacentral:rRNA from 1 species
AUGCUGUGGUCGUCGGAGGAUGACGACGAUGACGACAGCGGGGCCGAGGACGACGAGUCGGUGGGUUCGGAUUCGGAAGACUACGACGAAGAUGACAGCAGCGGCGAGGAGGAGGAGAGCGACGACGAGGUUGACGGACAAGCGGCCAUGGAGAGCAGCGCCCACAAUGACAUGCUGCUACAGAUGGUACACCCCAGCAAGUUCGUCCUCGAGGGAGGUUCGGCGCCGCGGUUCGCCGCCGCUGGGAAGACGGCCGGCUUCAUGCAGGUCGCCGCCACGGAGAGGCAAGACGAAGCCGACCUCAUGCAGAUCCUCGUGCUCUUCCGCUACACCCGCUUCUCGCCAUCAUCGUGCGGCGUGGAAGCGCGCAGGAGCACGAAAGAGCACCAGCUCCGGUUCAUAGCCACAGGCGAACACACGGCGAGGUCGCUGGAGUGGGCCGGAUCGUCGCUGGGCCUGCUGAUAUACCCCCAUGGCUUCAGGAAGAAGCUCCAGGAGCUAUGGUCCAGCUUGGCGUCGAAGGUGAGCGUCCCGCCGGGAGCAAGACGCGUCGAGGUGUUCGUCGACGUUGGCCUCCUCCGGCGAGCGGACUACACGCUAGCGAGCAUGCGGCACAUGUGCGCCGCGCUGGAGGGCAUGGUGGCGAAGCCGUGGCCCGGGCGCUUCACCGGCAUGGAGCUGCACUUGCCAGAGCCGGUGCGGUGCACCAGGGACGCCGACGAGCGGCCGGCAAAGCAGAGGAAGGAGUGCUGCAAGGACGUCGGUGAGCAGCCGGCGAACCGAAGGAGGGUUGUUGCCGCCGGGGAGGAUUGCCCCGUCUGCUGGCAGCUGCUGGAGGGCGACGACCUCGCCGCGUGGCCGGGCUGCGGCAAGCCCCACGUCUUCCAUGGCGCGUGCCUGGAGCAAGUCCUCAAGAUGAGCGAGACGUGCCCGCUUUGCAGGCGCAACCUGUACAUCGAGCCCAAGAUGGUAGCCGCCAGCUACACCUAG